GGCAUGGUGGCCAAGUGUUAAGGCAUUGGUCGUGUGAACCAAAAAUCACGGGUUCGAACCCUGACCGUGCCU